AUUGAACGCUGGCGGCAGGCCUAACACAUGCAAGUCGAGCGGCAGCGGGAAAGUAGCUUGCUACUUUUGCCGGCGAGCGGCGGACGGGUGAGUAAUGCCUGGGGAUCUGCCCAGUCGAGGGGGAUAACUACUGGAAACGGUAGCUAAUACCGCAUACGCCCUACGGGGGAAAGCAGGGGACCUUCGGGCCUUGCGCGAUUGGAUGAACCCAGGUGGGAUUAGCUAGUUGGUGAGGUAAUGGCUCACCAAGGCGACGAUCCCUAGCUGGUCCGGGGGGAUGAUCAGCCACACUGGAACUGAGACACGGUCCAGACUCCUACGGGAGGCAGCAGUGGGGAAUAUUGCACAAUGGGGGAAACCCUGAUGCAGCCAUGCCGCGUGUGUGAAGAAGGCCUUCGGGUUGUAAAGCACUUUCAGCGAGGAGGAAAGGUUGGUAGCUAAUAACUGCCAGCUGUGACGUUACUCGCAGAAGAAGCACCGGCUAACUCCGUGCCAGCCGCCGCAGUAAAAC
rnacentral:rRNA from 1 species